AUAAACGUUGGCGGCGUGCUUAACACAUGCAAGUCGAGCGAGAAAGGUCCUUCGGGACUGAGUAAAGCGGCAAACGGGUGCGUAACACGUAGGAAUCUACCUUUUAGUGGAGAAUACCCUCGAGAAAUCGAGGUUAAUACUGCAUACGUCUCGCAAGAGAGAAAGAUGGCCUCUUUGCUGUCGCUGAAAGAUGAGCCUGCGGACUAUUAGCUUGUUGGUGGGGUAAAGGCCUACCAAGGCGAUGAUGGAUAGCCGGCCUGAGAGGGUGUACGGCCACACUGGAACUUAGACACGGUCCAGACUCCUACGGGAGGCAGCAGUGAGGAAUAUUGCGCAAUGGGCGAAAGCCUGACGCAGCGACGCCGCGUGGAGGAUGAAGGUCUUAGGAUCGUAAACUUCUGUUAAGUGGGAAGAAAGGCAUUUGUGUUAAAUAGCGCAGUGAGAUGACGGUACCACUAGAGAAAGCACCGGCUAACUUCGUGCCAGCCGCCGCGGUAAU
rnacentral:rRNA from 1 species